rnacentral:rRNA from 1 species
UCCGUAGGCGGUGUGGCAAGUCGGAAGUGAAAUCUCUGGGCUUAACUCAGAGGCUGCCUCCGAAACUGCCGUGCUAGAGUGCGAGAGAGGCAAGUGGAAUUGCGGGUGUAGCGGUGAAAUGCGUAGAUAUCCGCAGGAACAUCCGAGGCGAAAGCGGCUUGCUGGAUCGCAACUGACGCUGAGGGACGAAAGCUAGGGGAGCAAACAGGAUUAGAUACCCUGGUAGUCCUAGCCCUAAACCAUCAGGACUUGGGGUUUGCCCUGUACGGGGCAAGUCCCGUAGCUAACGCGUUAAGUCCUGCGCCUGGGGAGUACGGUCGCAAGGCUGAA